rnacentral:lncRNA from 1 species
AUCAGAUCCCUGAGCAAACAUGAAAGAGAAUGCCCCAGGGAGCUACCUGACCUGCAGUGGACUUUGAGCAAGAAAUCAGCUUUUAUGUGUCAAUCCACCAGAAUUUAGGGCUUUCUCUUAAUUGCAGCAAAGCCUAGCCCACCGUAACAGAAUAUUGGCAUGUAGCACUCCUCAAAACAUAGAAAGCAGAAACAAAUCAAUUCUGCCUGGAGGACCUCCCCGAUCUCAACACCCAGUGGUUUUGACAGAAUUGAUAUAGAAAUAGAAGCUUCAAGGUGGGAACUUUUUAUUUAAUGCAAAGUAAUAUACGAUUUAAGAAACUAUAUUUGUUGCAUGUUAUGUAUGUGUCAGAUAGUGGGUUAAGAAGUGCUUUACAUGAAUUAUACCGUUUAAUCUUCAAAACUACAGUAAGAUGCAGGGAUUGAUAUAUUUAUCCAACCAAUAUUUAUGAAUUAUUAGAACUGUUCUAGGUACUGUGGACCUAGCCAUGAAUUACAAGGUACUUUCUAUCCAUGGAGUUACAGCCUGGUGAGGGAGACCUGUAACAUCAAAC